CCAGACUCCUACGGGAGGCAGCAGUGGGGAAUAUUGCACAAUGGGCGAAAGCCUGAUGCAGCGACGCCGCGUGAAGGAUGAAGUAUUUCGGUAUGUAAACUUCUAUCAGCAGGGAAGAAAAUGACGGUACCUGACUAAGAAGCCCCGGCUAACUACGAGCCAGCAGCCGCGGUAAUACGUAGGGGGCAAGCGUUGUUCGGAAUGACUGGGCGUAAAGGGUGUGUAGGUGGUUUGAUAAGUUAGAUGUGUAAUACCCAGGGCUUAACUCGGGUGCUGCAUCUAAAACUGUUAGACUUGAGUACUGGAGAGGAUAGUGGAAUUCCUAGUGUAGCGGUGGAAUGCGUAGAUAUUAGGAGGAACAUCAGUGGCGAAGGCGACUAUCUGGACAGCAACUGACACUGAGGCACGAAAGCGUGGGGAGCAAACAGGAUUAGAUACCCCUGUA
rnacentral:rRNA from 1 species